AGUCCACAUCGACGGGGAGGUUUGGCACCUCGAUGUCGGCUCAUCACAUCCUGGGGCUGUAGUAGGUCCCAAGGGUUGGGCUGUUCGCCCAUUAAAGUGGUACGCGAGCUGGGUUCAGAACGUCGUGAGACCGUUCGGUCCCUAUCCGUCGCAGGCGUAGGAAAUUUGAGAAGACCUGUCCUUAGUACGAGAGGACCGGGAUGGACGUACCUCUGGUGUACCAGUUGU
rnacentral:rRNA from 1 species